CUUAAUGCUAUGAUGCAGUACAUGUACAGCAAACUUGCUGGCUUGUUAUAAAAACUAUCAGCCUCUGGUGUGGAUGUACAGUAGAUGUGUGCAGUCAUCAAGUUGGAUGAAGAAAAAUAAAAAAUAAAAUCAAUCAUUUUGGCAGGAGUUUUCAUAGAAGCUUGACCUGGACAAAGCUGGCAGCACUGUGAGGAUUAUGUUUUUUGAUUUCUUCAGUGCCUUCAAUACCACCCAGCCAUCUCUGUUUAGGAGUAAGCUCGGAUUUAUGCAGGCGGAUGAGCCUAUGGUUUCCUGGAUAAUGGACUGUCAGUCAGACUGCAGUUUGUGAGACUCAAGGUCUGUCUCACUGAUAGGGAUAUGAGCAACACUAGAGCACCACAAGGUACAGUCCUGUCUCCUUUUCUCUUCACUCUUUACCCCUCAGACUAUAAAUAUAAUGCCAGGUCAUAUCAUUUGCAGAAAUUCUCAGAUGACUCCCUACUUAUGGGGUGAAUUAAUAAGGGAGAUGAGACAAAGUAUCAGGUGAUGAACUUUGUUUUUGUUACAGAAAGAAUUUUAUGCAACUUAACAUCAGUAAAACCAAAGAACUGGUUAUUGACUUUUGAUACACAAAAGAACCUGUAUGUCCAGUUGCUAUUCAGAGAGUAGAUGUACAAGUAUAUGGGAGUCAUCAUCAAUGACAUGAUAAUAACAUCCUUCAUAUUUUCUACGACUCUGUGAUGGCCAGUGCAGUUUUUUUUACAUUGUGGAGUGCUGAACUGGAAACAUUACUUCAGGAUGGGCCAACUGAAUGAACAGGGCAGGAUCAGUUAAAAGGCCAGGCUAAUCUGUCUUUCAUGCAAAAACUUGCAAGCCACUGGGCCUUAAACCUUCAUCUUGGUCUUAAUUGAGAGCUUAUAAUCACUUGACACAAAGAUUUGGAGGUGUGGGCUACUCCAUCCAGGAUAUUGGGGCUUGGAUCUUUCUCACAGGACAUGCCUGGCUGGAAAAGAAAAAUGGCAACAUCUGCUAACUGUGAAGCACAUUGCACAGGCCAAUGAGAUGUGCUUCAAUUGGAAACUACAGAAUGCAGACAUGACAAACAUGGACAGCUUCCUGUGCAAACUGACGUUUGCUCAGAGCUUCACAGCAGACUGGUCAUUUUCAUUGCAGCUGAUAGUCAUACACUCCAAUUGCCAAACAAAGUCACCAUUAAGCCAAUGCAAACAACUAGAUCCACAACCUCAGCUCUGUGUCAAGCCAAAAGCAGGAGCUGUUUCGAUGACAACACAUGAGAAGUAAUGAGCUGGUAGGAUACUAUAAAGUGGGAAAGUGCUGCUUACUCUAUAUAAACAAUGAGAAUUACAAUAAGACAUUAUAACUUCCACAAGAAUUGCAAUAAGAAACUAUUUCAAAUGCAUUUACAGUAUCAACAGCUUCUUAUGUAUUGCAUUAAUGGAGCCUCUACGUAUAAUCCCUAGUGCAUACGUUUUUAGAUGAAGUGCUUAGGCACAGACUUUCAAGACCAGAAAAAAUAUGCAUCUCUCCUUUUUUGCUUAGAAAAGUACAUGAUAUUGAAUUUAUGCCAAAUUCUUUAGAUAUAUGAGGCAAGUUCACCAAAAUCACAGACAGACAGACAGACAGAUUCAAGAUGUUUAAACGUGCUUCCUAACCACUUUUACACAACACCAAUGAGAGAAUAAUGUUCUAGCACCAAAACAUAUUUCCGCUGUGUUCACUGAAAGCAACUGGGAGAAAUACAUUUGGUGAUUCACUCAAAAGAAGACAAUCCAGGUGCCUUUCUGUUUUAAGCCUUCAUGUCGAUCUGAAGGCACAUCCACUCAAUGACCAUGGCUGGAGUCCUCUACUUAAAAGAAUAGAUGUGGUGUAGUCGGCAGGAUACCCGCCCGAGAGAAAUGACCGAAGGGCAGGACCUGAACACUGUGCUGCAGGGAAUGAAUGCCCAGAUCCUGGCCCUGCAGCAGGCGCAAGCCGCCACCAACCGCAAGCUCGAAGAAACGAAGGCCCAGUUGGCAGAAGCCUGAAGGGAAAAAAGACGCUCCGCCAUCAUAACCUGCCCGCACUAU